GACGAACGCUGGCGGCGUGCUUAACACAUGCAAGUCGAACGGAAAGGCCCUGCUUUUGUGGGGUGCUCGAGUGGCGAACGGGUGAGUAACACGUGAGUAACCUGCCCUUGACUUUGGGAUAACUUCAGGAAACUGGGGCUAAUACCGGAUAGGAGCUCCUGCUGCAUGGUGGGGGUUGGAAAGUUUCGGCGGUUGGGGAUGGACUCGCGGCUUAUCAGCUUGUUGGUGGGGUAGUGGCUUACCAAGGCUUUGACGGGUAGCCGGCCUGAGAGGGUGACCGGCGACAUUGGGACUAAGAUACGGCGCAGAGUAGUACGGGAGGAAGCAGUGGGGAAUAUUGAACAAUGGGCGGAAGCCUGAUGCAGCAACGCCGCGUGCGUGAUGACGGCCUUCGGGUUGUAAACCGCUUUCGCCUGUGACGAAGCGUGAGUGACGGUAAUGGGUAAAGAAGGACCGGCUAAAUACGUG
rnacentral:rRNA from 1 species